rnacentral:rRNA from 1 species
GUCCGCACGAGCGCACCCUUGAUCUUAGUUGCCAGCAUUCAGUUGGGCACUCUAAGGUGACUGCCGGUGACAAACCGGAGGAAGGUGGGGAUGACGUCAAAUCAUCAUGCCCCUUAUGACCUGGGCUACACACGUGCUACAAUGGAUGGUACAAAGGGCAGCGAAGCCGCGAGGCACUAGCAAAUCCCAUAAAACCAUUCUCAGUUCGGAUUGUAGGCUGCAACUCGCCUACAUGAAGCCGGAAUCGCUAGUAAUCGCGGAUCAGCAUGCCGCGGUGAAUACGUUCCCGGGCCUUGUACACACCGCCCGUCACACCACGAGAGUUGGCAACACCCGAAGUCGGUGAGGUAACCGGGGGCAAAACUUAGUCUCUUAUAACUAUUAGGAAACUAAGUUUUGCCCUUGGAGCCAGCCGCCGAAGGUGGGGCCAAUGAUUGGGGUGAAGUCGUAACAAGGUAGCCGUAUCGGAAGGUGCGGCUGGAUCACCUCCUUU